rnacentral:misc_RNA from 1 species
GAAAUAGUCUAGCCAUGCAGAUAAUUCACCAUCGUUUUAAAUUAUAAUUUUUGGAAAAAAAUGACAAACUCAAAAAACAUAUAUUCACAAUCAAUUCAAUUUCCUUCAUGUUCUUCAAUGCAAAAGAAAAAGGCCAAAAUUAGGUGAAUCGGAAAAAUGUACUAUAGAAGACAAUGACUAAAACGACAAGUUCAGAUAUAUAAGAUUGCAGUACCACAACCAAACCAAAAAACACAAAACAAGUCCCACCAAGUUGUCAAACAAAACAGAAUUCACAAUUCUACCAAGCAUCACUCACCCCACAUUUAACACUUGAUGAUG